rnacentral:tRNA from 1 species
GGUUAUGGCUCAGAGGUAGAGCACUUGCCUGCCACGUGUCAGGCACUGGGUUCGAUCCUCAGCACCA